rnacentral:rRNA from 1 species
UGGGGAAUAUUGGACAAUGGGGGAAACCCUGAUCCAGCCAUGCCGCGUGUGUGAAGAAGGCCUUUUGGUUGUAAAGCACUUUAAGCAGUGAAGAAGACUCUUCGGUUAAUACCCGGAGACGAUGACAUUAGCUGCAGAAUAAGCACCGGCUAACUCUGUGCCAGCAGCCGCGGUAAUACAGAGGGUGCAAGCGUUAAUCGGAAUUACUGGGCGUAAAGCGAGCGUAGGUGGCUUGAUAAGUCAGAUGUGAAAUCCCCGGGCUUAACCUGGGAACUGCAUCUGAAACUGUUAGGCUAGAGUAGGUGAGAGGGAAGUAGAAUUUCAGGUGUAGCGGUGAAAUGCGUAGAGAUCUGAAGGAAUACCGAUGGCGAAGGCAGCUUCCUGGCAUCAUACUGACACUGAGGCUCGAAAGCGUGGGUAGCAAACAGG